GCCUGCCCUGUGACUAUGGGUUUAACGGCCGCGGUAUUUUGACCGUGCGAAGGUAGCGCAAUCACUUGUCUUUUAAAUGAAGACCUGUAUGAAUGGCAUCACGAGGGCUUAGCUGUCUCCUCUCCCAAGUCAAUGAAAUUGAUCUGUCCGUGCAGAAGCGGGCAUAAGUACAUAAGACGAGAAGACCCUAUGGAGCUUUAGACACCAGGCAGAUCACGUCAAGUAACCUUAAAUUAAUAAGUGGAAACGCAGUGACCCCUAGCCCAUAUGUCUUUGGUUGGGGCGACCGCGGGGGAAAAUAAAGCCCCCAUGUGGACUGGGGGCACUGCCCCCACAGCCGAGAGCUACAGCUCUAAGCACCAGAAUUUCUGACCAAAAAUGAUCCGGCGAACGCCGAUCAACGGACCGAGUUACCCUAGGGAUAACAGCGCAAUCCUCUCCCAGAGUCCCUAUCGACGAGGGGGUUUACGACCUCGAUGUUGGAUCAGGACAUCCUAAUGGUGCAGCCGCUAU
rnacentral:rRNA from 1 species